rnacentral:rRNA from 1 species
UUAUACCCUAUGUCUAUUUGAGUGCAUCAUUUAAAUAGUAAAGGUUACGGUACAAGAUGAGUAUGCGUCCUAUUAGUUUGUUGGUAAGGUAACGGCUUACCAAGACUACGAUAGGUAGGGGGCCUGAGAGGGGGAUCCCCCACACUGGUACUGAGACACGGACCAGACUCCUACGGGAGGCAGCAGUGAGGAAUAUUGGACAAUGGGCGAGAGCCUGAUCCAGCCAUGCCGCGUGCAGGAAGACGGCCCUAUGGGUUGUAAACNGCUUUUAUACAGGAAGAAACACUCCCU